GCUCGGCUAACAGCAGCUGCACAAGACGCUUGAACCAGGGAAGAGCUUGCAGAACUGUUCCCAUCCCUGCAUCGAGAAUGGGAGCAUCUUAAGAUCACAAAGCAGUUUAAAAACGCACAUUAAAUCAAUGCGAUGCGCAUUAAUGUUGUGUGUGCCUUUGUUAACACGGAAAGUACGGCUCAAAGACUGGCACAGACGAAUGCCGCGGGUCAGAUAGCACCCGUGGAGGGCGUUCACCGACGACGUUUCGGGUUGGGACCCGAAUUUAAGGCGAAUUGCUCCCACCAUCUGACAACGUUACUCAGUAAUCUGCCACUAGAUGGUGCACAUGUUGCCUGGUGCACGUUUAUUUCUGCAAGGACUGGCGUAGACAAGCUCAGCAGUUCAGGCCAUACACUUGGGAUGCAGCGCUCUAAAACGUCAAAUCACACAAUUGCUAAAUUCUCAUAACUUUUGUGAAAUUUUGGCAACACCUGCACCAAAACACUGUUCCAAUGUUUGUGUUAUUUCCUUAUAAGCAAAAUAAACGUCACUCAGCUUGGCAUUUCU